rnacentral:rRNA from 1 species
UGGGGAAUAUUGCACAAUGGGCGCAAGCCUGAUGCAGCCAUGCCGCGUGUAUGAAGAAGGCCUUCGGGUUGUAAAGUACUUUCAGCGAGGAGGAAGGCGGUAAGGUUAAUAACCGUAUCGAUUGACGUUACUCGCAGAAGAAGCACCGGCUAACUCCGUGCCAGCAGCCGCGGUAAUACGGAGGGUGCAAGCGUUAAUCGGAAUUACUGGGCGUAAAGCGCACGCAGGCGGUCUGUCAAGUCGGAUGUGAAAUCCCCGGGCUCAACCUGGGAACUGCAUUCGAAACUGGCAGGCUAGAGUCUUGUAGAGGGGGGUAGAAUUCCAGGUGUAGCGGUGAAAUGCGUAGAGAUCUGGAGGAAUACCGGUGGCGAAGGCGGCCCCCUGGACAAAGACUGACGCUCAGGUGCGAAAGCGUGGGGAGCAAACA